rnacentral:rRNA from 1 species
UACGGGAGGCAGCAGUAGGGAAUCUUCCGCAAUGGACGAAAGUCUGACGGAGCAACGCCGCGUGAGUGAUGAAGGCUUUCGGGUCGUAAAACUCUGUUGUUAGGGAAGAACAAGUGCUAGUUGAAUAAGCUGGCACCUUGACGGUACCUAACCAGAAAGCCACGGCUAACUACGUGCCAGCAGCCGCGGU